GACGUAGGAGGCGAGCGUUAUCCGGAUUCACUGGGCGUAAAGCGCAUGUAGGCGGCUGGAUCAGUCGUGUGUUAAAGCCCCCGGCUCAACUGGGGGAGGUCAUGCGAGACUAUUCGGCUUGAGGGCAGCAGAGGAGCGUGGAACUCCCGGUGUAGCGGUGGAAUGCGUAGAUAUCGUGAGGAACACCAGUGGCGAAGGCGGCUUCCUGGCCUGUUCUUGACGCUGAGGCGCGAAAGCUAGGGGAGCAAACGGG
rnacentral:rRNA from 1 species